AGAGUUUGAUCCUGGCUCAGGACGAACGCUGGCGGCGUGCCUAACACACGCAAGUCGAGCGAGUGAAUCUCCUUCGGGAGUAAAGCUAGCGGCGGACGGGUGAGUAACACGUGGGCAACCUGCCUCAUAGAGGGGAAUAGCCUUCCGAAAGGAAGAUUAAUACCGCAUAAGAUUGCAGCUUCGCAUGAAGUAGCAAUUAAAGGAGCAAUCCGCUAUGAGAUGGGCCCGCGGCGUAUUAGCUAGUUGGUGAGGUAACGGCUCACCAAGGCGACGAUGCGUAGCCGACCUGAGAGGGUGAUCGGCCACGUUGGGACUGAGACACGGCCCAG
rnacentral:rRNA from 1 species